GGAAAAUGGGAUUUCAUGCACUGGGACUGGGAUUCAUCAGCAAAAAAACAAUAGAAAAUGGGAAUGGGAUUAAGAUUUGAGCAGGACAGCCACCGAGAUGAUGGGAUUUGUGCUCUGGGACAAUGGGAUUCAGUCAAAAUUUGGGCUGGGAAAUGGGAAUACGACCCCCCCUUUCAGGACCCUCGGGGGAGGUAGUGAAAAACCAAGAAGUAGG